UGUUAAACGACUUCGUCCGCGGUCGAACAUAACUUUUUAAUUACUCCAUGUAAUAAACAACAUUCCGUUUAUCCUUUACAAAAAUAAUGCCACCCGAUCGAUAGAAAUAUGUCAAGUGUUAAGACUGUUAAUGUUUCCUGUCUGUUAGAUCUGUUAAACUACGCAUCUUAAAUACCUUCAAACAAAAGCACUGACCAAUCACACGGCUGAAAUCCACCUCGGCCCUGGAAAUAGACAAGUAUUCUGAUCUGCAGACCUUAUUAUUGCUCGUUCAGCUGCUGAGCAUAGGGCCUGCCAAAAGAUGUCGUGCAAUAUUAAUUCAUAUCCGGGAUUUUAAACUGCCUUUCUUGGAUCUUUUAACCUUGCUUUUUAACCCGAGACCUGAGAAACAUGCAACCAAGAGGAAACCAAGCACGGAAAUUCGCUCGUCACUUGUCAUAAUGAAUUCACCGUCUUGCGGACCGAAUGCGUGUGUAAAUUCACAUUCUCUCUGUGUUACCAUCUCCUCCUGGGGAAAGACACACUGACUUAGGCUUCCUUUCGAGCCAGCUCGUUCAGAAGAACUCCGUUUAUCACAAAGCCGAUGAGUUACGUGGAAAUUCUGUCUCGCAUGGAGGCUUCAUCUCUUGAGGACAUUCUCUCUUCUCCAAGCCCCGAUACGUACUCCCCGACCGAAGAGAACAGUGAGGGGAACAG
rnacentral:misc_RNA from 1 species